GUCACUGUGUCCCGUUGUGCCAGAAGCGGUCUAGUCCUGCUGGUCACAUGAUCCGGAAAGCUGUCUGCGGACAAACGCCGGCUCCCUUGGCCUGAAAGCGAGAUGAGCACCGCAACCCCAUAGUCACCUUUAACUGGACUUAACCAUCCAGGGGUCCUUUACCUUUACCUUUUACCCAAGCCCCUUGAUAGGGCCAAUGCAUGGACCACCAUUCCCACCACAGAAGGAGCAGUCUGCACUCUGUGUCCAAAGGUGUCUACCCGACCCCCAUCUACUUCCAGGAUGACUCAGGCAGACCAGGAAGUCCCGUCUACUUUCCUAGACCUUUUUGCCACCGCCGCUGCUUCCUGCCCAAAGGAUCCUGCACUCUUAAAAAUAUUGCUUAUUCUGCUGGCAGAGGCUCUCCUGGAUUCCCAGCAGAAGAUAUUUUUU